UACGGGGGGGGCUAGCGUUGUUCGGAAUUACUGGGCGUAAAGGGCGCGUAGGCGGCCUACUAAGUCGGACGUGAAAUCCCUCGGCUCAACCGGGGAACUGCGUCCGAUACUGGUGGGCUCGAAUCCGGGAGAGGGAUGUGGAAUUCCAGGUGUAGCGGUGAAAUGCGUAGAUAUAGGAAGGAACACCAGUGGCGAAGGCGACCACCUGGACUGAUACUGACACUGAGGUGCGAAAGCGUGGGGAGCAAACAGG
rnacentral:rRNA from 1 species